GGGCUCGUAGCUUAGCCAGGUAGAGCAACGGGCUCUUAACCUAGGGAGAUACCCGUAGGUCCCGGGUUCGAAUCCCGGCGAGCCCG
rnacentral:tRNA from 1 species